ACUGCGAGGUAAACAUCGACCAAUGAAACUGCAUCAAACGCUCAUGCAAUUUCAUUGGUUGAUGAUUUCCUCGCUCA
ncrna:Plutella xylostella (diamondback moth) microRNA pxy-mir-8499a precursor